CAUGGCAGCGUGAAAUUACUAGUUUGGGUUAAAGUUAAACAAAUAAAAGCGCGUAACUUUACCGAUGAAGCAUUAUCUCCUCAUCACGCCCACAACAUCAAACUGACACGGUUUACACAGACAAGAACAAUAAAAAGUAAAAACAAACCCAUGAACUUCAUGACUUUGAUUUUUUUCAUCUCCUUCUGGUUGUUCCACCGUCACUGGUUUAACGUUAAAUUCUGUCAUCAACUACCAAAUUAUUUUUUCCUCUUUCACACAUUCCCGUUUUCUUUUCCUUUCUUUAUCGCAAUUAAUUGCAUUGUAAAAAAAAAAUACAUAUCUUUUUCUUCAAGUCAAAGAAACGAUGAAAAAAAAAACUAA